rnacentral:tRNA from 1 species
GCCUCUGUAGCUCAGAGGAUAGAGCAAACGGUUUCUACCCGUAAGGUCAGGGGUUCAAAUCCCUUCAGAGGUACAA